UGGCGACCGGCGCACGGGUGAGUAACACGUAUCCAACCUGCCGAUGACUCGGGGAUAGCCUUUCGAAAGAAAGAUUAAUACCCGAUGGCAUAGUUCUUCCGCAUGGUAGAACUAUUAAAGAAUUUCGGUCAUCGAUGGGGAUGCGUUCCAUUAGGUUGUUGGCGGGGUAACGGCCCACCAAGCCUUCGAUGGAUAGGGGUUCUGAGAGGAAGGUCCUCCACAUGGAACUGAGACACGGUCCAAACUCCUACGGGAGGCAGCAUG
rnacentral:rRNA from 1 species